CCUGGUUCAAUGUCAUGACCAUUUCAUCCUGUACAAUAAACCACUUCUCUCAUUCCAUUCCAUCUUCUCCCCACCUAACCUAUUUGUGAGGGAAUUUUCUGAUGAGGUUAAUUGAGAUGGGAAGACCCACCCUAGUAAGAGUGGUACCGUUCCAUGGGCAGGGGCUCUGAAUUCAAUGAAAAGGAAAGGGGAGGCUGAGCAUCAUUAUUCAUCUAUCUCUGCUCCUUCAUUGUAGGGCAGUGUGCCCCGCUACCUCAUACUCCUGUGACCACACCCUCCUUGCCUGCCACGAUGGACUGUACCUUCAAAUGCUAAGCCAAGGCAAAAGGAGCAAAUUAAUAUUUUUGAGCACAUGAAACAUAAAAUGCAAGAUGCAAAAAGAGAAAAUCAGCAGCGCUCGCUCGAUGGCUCAAAUUUUUUAAAAAAUCAUUGUCUACAAUUUUUUUUAUCAUCUGUGUAAGAUUCCAGCCCUUUCACAGGAACUACUGUCUGCUAGCCUCCACGGGAAAUCCCCUCCAUACUAAUGUCAAGAGUUUUCUUUAAUGGAAAAACAGUUGUCAGCCCCGGGGGUGUAAGCGUCCUCCCUAAGGCCAUCUCUAGACCAUGCCAGGCUGCAGGGCACAGGAGUGAGCAAGGAUGCCCACGUCAUGCUCGGUCCUUAGCAACCAAGUGAGUUGGUAGGUGUCAUUGCUGCUUUCCCUCCUGGUGUCAGAGGAAUAAGAAAUCACAACCUGAAGGAGCCCUGCAGCCAGGAAACCUCACCAAAAGCAAGUGACAGCAGGACUUGCCAGCUGGAGUUCCCCCGCUUUUCAACACAAGUACCGGUUUGCUUUGCUGAGGUAAGAUGUGCUACGGGCCCAGGCUAACCUGGAAUGUGCGUUCCUCCUGCAGCUCCCUCAGGGCUGGGAUCAUGAGUCUGCACUUCUGGACCGGGUGACCACUAUCAGCUCAUUUGACUUACGUUGUCAUCCAGAGGUCAGCGCAAAUCGGAGAUGUGUUAUUAUGUCUUUAUUCUAUAGUACCUUUGGCAUGGGGAGGUGCUUAGUCAUCGAGAAAGUGAGCAGACCGAAGAAAAUAAGGGAGGAGGAAAGGGAGGCUGGAAGGUGGCUAUGCACAUGGGAAGACAAGAACGGGGAAUGAUGGGAAGAACAGUGGUACUUAGAUUACCGAUAUAAUAAGGAGACUUUCCAUGUAAAAAUUCUGUCUUGAUAGCUUGUUAAAAUUUAUGAUGUAAGUGGAACUUACUCUACACCUGUUACAUCCACUUGUAAAGAGUAUUUGUUCUGUGACUUAUUAUUUGUAAAAGAGCACUAACCAUCAGCACAUGGCCCAAGAAUGGUGUGAGGAGAUUUCUGAGUACUUGUGAGAAAACUUUAAGGAAACAAGACACAAGUCUUGCGACCUCAAUUUAUUCAAAACACGGAAUUGUUCUGGGAAUGUGUUUUCAUGCUCCUCCCAGGUGUAGCAGAUAGGAGUGAGUUUACUUCAGCUAUUGCUAUUCAUACAUCUCUGUGCUAGACAGUUUUAUGUCAACUUGACAUAAAGUUAUUUGAGAGGAGGGAUCCUCAAUUAAGAAAAUACCUCCAUAAGAUCAGGCCAUAGGCAAGCCUACAGGCCAUUUUCUUAAUCAUUGAUUCAUAGUGGGGAGAACCCAGCCCAUUACAGGUGAGGGCACCUCUGGGCUAGUGGUCCUGGGUUCUAUAAGAGAGCAGGCUGAGCAAGUGAUGGGGAGAAAGCCUGUACACAGGAUCCCUCAUGGCCUCUGUAUCAGCUCCUGUCUCCAGCUUUCUGCCCUGCUUGAGGUCCUGUCCUGACUUCCUCCAAUGAAGGACUAUGAUCUGGAAGUGUAAGUCAAAUUAACCCUUUUCUCCCCAACUUGCUUUUUGGUCAUAGUGUUUUGUUGCAGCAAUAGAAACCCUAACUAAGACAGCCUCUGUGGGAAAACAUGUUUUUGCCAUGUGUGACUUGUCCUUAUGAUUGAACACUGUAUAAGUUGCCUGGUGCACUGAAUAAAGUUGUCUGUUGCAUGAGA